rnacentral:lncRNA from 1 species
CUGCUGGGAGUAUGAUACUAUUGGAAUAUGUUGUCUAUAGGGCUUGUGUUGUAGAGAUAACAGAUAGUAAAUUGAGUGUGGAUAUAAUAGAAUUAGACACGGAGAAUUUUGAUGCAAUUUUAGGAAUAAAUUAGCUAGUGGUGUAUCAUGCCACCGUAGAUUGUUUUAGCAAGAAAGUUGUAUUCAAUCCUCUUAAUGAAGAGUCAUUUACAAAUUAAUAAAAU